rnacentral:rRNA from 1 species
GUUCGAUCCUGGCUCAGGACGAACGCUGGCGGCGUGCCUAACACAUGCAAGUCGAGCGAGAAUUUUAUAAUAGAUUCCUUCGGGAUGAAAUUAUGACUUUUCUAGCGGCGGAUGGGUGAGUAACGCGUGAGAAACCUGCCUUUUACAAGGGGAUAGCCUCGAGAAAUCGGGAUUAAUACCCUAUGAUACUAUUUAGUCGCAUGACUUAAUAGUUAAAGCGUAAAGCGGUAAAAGAUGGUCUCGCGUCCCAUUAGUUAGUUGGUGAGAUAAAAGCUCACCAAGACUACGAUGGGUAGCCGGCCUGAGAGGGUGACCGGCCACACUGGAACUGAGACACGGUCCAGACUCCUACGGGAGGCAGCAGUGGGGAAUCUUGCACAAUGGAGGAAACUCUGAUGCAGCGACGCCGCGUGAACGAUGAAGGUUUUCGGAUCGUAAAGUUCUGUCCUAAGGGAAGAUAAUGACGGUACCUUAGGAGGAAGCACCGGCUAACUACGUGCCAGCAGCCGCGGUAAUACGUAGGGUGCAAGCGUUGUCCGGAAUUACUGGGCGUAAAGGGUUUGUAGGCGGUUUUUUAAGUCAGAUGUUAAAGCUCACGGCUCAACCGUGGGAUGCAUUUGAAACUGAGAGACUUGAGUCAAGGAGAGGAAAGUGGAAUUCCUAGUGUAGCGGUGAAAUGCGUAGAUAUUAGGAGGAAUACCAGUGGCGAAGGCGACUUUCUGGACUUGUACUGACGCUGAGAAACGAAAGCAUGGGUAGCAAACAGGAUUAGAUACCCUGGUAGUCCAUGCCGUAAACGAUGAGUGCUAGGUGUCGGGGGUCAAACCUCGGUGCCGGAGCUAACGCAUUAAGCACUCCGCCUGGGGAGUACGUACGCAAGUAUGAAACUCAAAGGAAUUGACGGGGACCCGCACAAGCAGCGGAGCAUGUGGUUUAAUUCGAAGCAACGCGAAGAACCUUACCAGGACUUGACAUAUAUAUGACCGGUAUAGAGAUAUACCUUUUCUUCGGAACAUAUAUACAGGUGGUGCAUGGUUGUCGUCAGCUCGUGUCGUGAGAUGUUGGGUUAAGUCCCGUAACGAGCGCAACCCUUAUUUUUAGUUGCCAUCAAGUAAUGUUGGGCACUCUAGAGAGACUGCCGAUGAUAAAUCGGAGGAAGGUGGGGAUGACGUCAAAUCAUCAUGCCCUUUAUGUCCUGGGCUACACACGUGCUACAAUGGCUAGAACAAAGAGCAGCUACAUCGCGAGGUGAUGCUAAUCUCAUAAAUCUAGUCCCAGUUCGGAUUGUUCUCUGCAAUUCGAGAACAUGAAGCCGGAGUUGCUAGUAAUCGUGGAUCAGAAUGCCACGGUGAAUGCGUUCCCGGGUCUUGUACACACCGCCCGUCACACCAUGGAAGUUGGAAAUGCCCGAAG